rnacentral:rRNA from 1 species
UACAGAGGGUGCAAGCGUUAAUCGGAUUUACUGGGCGUAAAGCGUGCGUAGGCAGUUCAGUAUGUCGGUCGUGAAAUCCCCGGGCUUAACCUGGGAACUGCGGCCGAAACUGCUGAGCUUGAGUGUGGUAGAGGAAGGUGGAAUUCCAGGUGUAGCGGUGAAAUGCGUAGAUAUCAAGAGGAACACCUGCGGCGAAGGCGGGUUGCUGGGCUGACACUGACGCUGAAGCGCGAAAGCCAGGGGAGCGAACGGG